GACGAACGCUGGCGGCGUGCUUAACACAUGCAAGUCGAACGGAGAGGCCCUGCUUUUGUGGGGUGCUCGAGUGGCGAACGGGUGAGUAACACGUGAGUAACCUGCCCUUGACUUUGGGAUAACUUCAGGAAACUGGGGCUAAUACCGGAUAGGAGCUCCUGCUGCAUGGUGGGGGUUGGAAAGUUUCGGCGGUUGGGGAUGGACUCGCGGCUUAUCAGCUUGUUGGUGGGGUAGUGGCUUACCAAGGCUUUGACGGGUAGCCGGCCUGAGGGGGUGACCGGCCACAUUGGGACUGAGAUACGGCCCAGACUCCUACGGGAGGCAGCAGUGGGGAAUAUUGCACAAUGGGCGGAAGCCUGAUGCAGCAACGCCGCGUGCGGGAUGACGGCCUUCGGGUUGUAAACCGCUUUCGCCUGUGACGAAGCGUGAGUGACGGUAAUGGGUAAAGAAGCACCGGCUAACUACGUG
rnacentral:rRNA from 1 species